rnacentral:rRNA from 1 species
GCAUAUCAAUAAGCGGAGGAAAAGAAACCAACAGGGAUUGCCCCAGUAACGGCGAGUGAAGCGGCAACAGCUCAAAUUUGAAAUCUGGCCCCUCGGGGUCCGAGUUGUAAUUUGUAGAGGAUGCUUUUGGUGAGGUGCCGCCCGAGUUCCCUGGAACGGGACGCCACAGAGGGUGAGAGCCCCGUCUGGCUGGCCACCGAGCCUCUGUAAAGCUCCUUCGACGAGUCGAGUAGUUUGGGAAUGCUGCUCAAAAUGGGAGGUAUAUGUCUUCUAAAGCUAAAUAUUGGCCAGAGACCGAUAGCGCACAAGUAGAGUGAUCGAAAGAUGAAAAGCACCUUGAAAAGAGGGUUAAAUAGUACGUGAAAUUGUUGAAAGGGAAGCGCUUGUGACCAGACUUGGGCGCGGCGGAUCAUCCGGGGUUCUCUCCGGUGCACUUCGACGCGUCCAGGCCAGCAUCAGUUCGUCGCGGGGGAAAAAGGCUUCGGGAACGUGGCUCCCUCGGGAGUGUUAUAGCCCGUUGCAUAAUACCCUGCUUUGGACUGAGGACCGCGCAUCUGCAAGGAUGCUGGCGUAAUGGUCACCAGCGACCCGUCUUGAAACACGGACCAAGGAGUCGUCUUCGUAUGCGAGUGUUCGGGUGUCAAACCCCUACGCGUAAUGAAAGUGAACGCAGGUGAGAGCUUCGGCGCAUCAUCGACCGAUCCUGAUGUUCUCGGAUGGAUUUGAGUAAGAGCAUACGGGGCCGGACCCGAAAGAAGGUGAACUAUGCCUGUAUAGGGUGAAGCCAGAGGAAACUCUGGUGGAGGCUCGCAGCGGUUCUGACGUGCAAAUCGAUCGUCAAAUAUGGGCAUGGGGGCGAAAGACUAAUCGAACCUUCUAGUAGCUGGUUUCCGCCGA